rnacentral:tRNA from 4 species
AGGGGAGUAGCUCAGCUGGUAGAGCGGCGGUCUCCAAAACCGUAGGUCGCAGGUUCGAUCCCUGUCUCCCCUG